GUGGGGAAUUUUGGACAAUGGGGGCAACCCUGAUCCAGCCAUGCCGCGUGCGGGAAGAAGGCCUUCGGGUUGUAAACCGCUUUCGGCCGGAACGAAAUCGCCGGGGAGAACAUCUCCGGUGGAUGACGGUACCGGAAGAAGAAGCACCGGCUAACUACGUGCCAGCAGCCGCGGUAAUACGUAGGGUGCGAGCGUUAAUCGGAAUUACUGGGCGUAAAGCGUGCGCAGGUGGUUCGCUAAGACAGAUGUGAAAUCCCCGGGCUCAACCUGGGAACUGCGUUUGUGACUGGCGGGCUAGAGUGCGGAAGAGGGAGGUGGAAUUCCACGUGUAGCAGUGAAAUGCGUAGAGAUGUGGAGGAACACCGAUGGCGAAGGCAGCCUCCUGGUCUAGCACUGACGCUCAUGCACGAAAGCGUGGGGAGCAAACAGGAUUAGAAACCCCAGUAGUCC
rnacentral:rRNA from 1 species